AUUUAAAUCCCCCGGAGAGGUGGGGGAGGGUGUUUGAAGUAUCUCAUUUUUUUUAAGUU
rnacentral:tRNA from 1 species